AAACGUUAGGGCAAGGUGUAGCC
rnacentral:piRNA from 1 species